rnacentral:rRNA from 1 species
UACAGAGGGUGCGAGCGUUGUUCGGAAUUAUUGGGCGUAAAGGGCGCGUAGGCGGCGCCACAAGUCACUUGUGAAAACUCUGGGCUCAACCCAGAGCCUGCAGGCGAAACUGUGGUGCUGGAGUAUGGGAGAGGUGCGUGGAACUGCGAGUGUAGAGGUGAAAUUCGUAGAUAUUCGCAAGAACACCAGUGGCGAAGGCGGCUCACUGGCCCGAUACUGACGCUGAGGCACGAAAGCGUGGGGAGCAAACAGG